ACCAACACCAGGCGUACGUCCAAGUACCAACGUCGACAACUACUAUAUUUUAUAGGAGAAAUCUGUAAGGCUUCCACUGUCUAUCUAGUAGCUGUCAUUGGAUUCCGUGUAUCUUUUUUUACCGUGAGGCACAUGUCGCUUCUUAUCUCUCUUUGUAUACUACUAGUAUUGAGCUUUACGCCCGCAUUUGUCGUAGGCGCUUCAAUCGCCCAUUCCAGGGACAUUCCCCCCCCCCCUCGUUUUCCAAAGAUCGACUCGGCACGGAGGUCCUUAUGAUUACCAGCGAAUGGAUUCAACUGAGGCGAUGAGUUAUUGCCAGCAGGACAAAAAGACGGCACUGGUAGAUGGCAAGGACAACUUUGCUAUGAAAAUGGUCCUCUUAUUUACAUAUUGGAACAAAGGAAAUAAUGAUAUAAAUUACAAGCCC
rnacentral:sRNA from 2 species